rnacentral:rRNA from 1 species
AGCGAACGCUGGCGGCAGGCUUAACACAUGCAAGUCGAGCGGGCAUCCUUGUGGUGUCAGCGGCAGACGGGUGAGUAACGCGUGGGAACGUGCCCUUCGGUUCGGAAUAACUCAGGGAAACUUGAGCUAAUACCGGAUACGCCCUUUUGGGGAAAGGUUUACUGCCGAAGGAUCGGCCCGCGUCUGAUUAGCUAGUUGGUGAGGUUACGGCUCACCAAGGCGACGAUCAGUAGCUGGUCUGAGAGGAUGAUCAGCCACACUGGGACUGAGACACGGCCCAGACUCCUACGGGAGGCAGCAGUGGGGAAUAUUGGACAAUGGGGGCAACCCUGAUCCAGCCAUGCCGCGUGAGUGAUGACAGCCUUAGGGUUGUAAAGCUCUUUUCUCCGGGACGAUAAUGACGGUACCGGAGGAAUAAGCCCCGGCUAACUUCGUG